GCUGCUUGCCUGUGUUUACAUCGGCUCACCGUCGCGGCUGGUCUACUCUGCGAGGAGCGACUGAGACGAUCUUGACGCUUAUCUUAAGUACCUUAUGCGAUUAGAAUAUCGUGAACCACACGAGAAUCGUCGUGUUGGUUCCUAUUGAAAGGUGUGACGGUACUGUUCUGGCUUGUGUAUCCAAAGUAAUUCCAAGGCACAAGUGCCCAUUGUGUGACCAGGACUGCAAAAGAAGGCCCCCAUCGCCCCAAUCAAUCGGAUAUUAUCACUGUCCGGACUGCUGUUCGUUGCUCCUUUCCCUCAGCACCCGAGCAUGCACAAAGAAGGCAG